rnacentral:rRNA from 1 species
CAGUAGCCACGGUAAUACGUAGGGUGCAAGCGUUAAUCGGAAUUACUGGGCGUAAAGCGUGCGCAGGCGGUUAUAUAAGACAGAUGUGAAAUCCCCGGGCUCAACCUGGGAACUGCAUUUGUGACUGUAUAGCUAGAGUACGGCAGAGGGGGAUGGAAUUCCGCGUGUAGCAGUGAAAUGCGUAGAUAUGCGGAGGAACACCGAUGGCGAAGGCAAUCCCCUGGGCCUGUACUGACGCUCAUGCACGAAAGCGUGGGGAGCAAACAGGAUUAGAUACCCGCGUAGUCCCUGUCUCUUUACC